GUGAGGAAUAUUGCGCAAUGGAGGCAACUCUGACGCAGCCAUGCCGCGUGCAGGAAGAAGGCGCUACGCGUUGUAAACUGCUUUUAACCGGGAAGAAACCCCAGGACGUGUCCUGGGUUGACGGUACCGGAGGAAUAAGCACCGGCUAACUUCGUGCCAGCAGCCGCGGUAAUACGAAGGGUGCAAGCGUUAUCCGGAUUCAUUGGGUGUAAAGGGUGCGUAGGCGGAGCGUUAAGUCAGUGGUGAAAUCCUGCAGCUUAACUGUAGACUUGCCAUUGAUACUGGCGCUCUUGAGUGCGCUUGAAGUGGGCGGAAUGUGCCGUGUAGCGGUGAAAUGCUUAGAUAUGGCACAGAACACCAAUUGCGAAGGCAGCUCACUAAGGCGAUACUGACGCUGAGGCACGAAAGCGUGGGGAUCGAACAGGAUUAGAAACCCCGGUAGUCC
rnacentral:rRNA from 1 species